GACGAACGCUGGCGGCGUGCUUAACACAUGCAAGUCGAACGGAAAGGCCCUGCUUUUGUGGGGUGCUCGAGUGGCGAACGGGUGAGUAACACGUGAGUAACCUGCCCUUGACUUUGGGAUAACUUCAGGAAACUGGGGCUAAUACCGGAUAGGAGCUCCUGCUGCAUGGUGGGGGUUGGAAAGUUUCGGCGGCUGGGGAUGGACUCGCGGCUUAUCAGCUUGUUGGUGGGGUAGUGGCUUACCAAGGCUUUGACGGGUAGCCGGCCUGAGAGGGUGACCGGCCACAGUGGGACUGAGAUGCGACCCAGACGCCUACGGGAGGCAGCAGUGGGGGAUAUUGCAAAAUGGGCGGAAGCCUGAUGCAGCAACGCCGCGUGCGGGAUGACGGCCUUCGGGUUGUAAACCGUUUUCGCCUGUGACGAAGCGUGAGUGACGGUAAUGGGUAAAGAAGCACCGGCUAACUACGUG
rnacentral:rRNA from 1 species